rnacentral:lncRNA from 1 species
CAAAAACCCGCUUUAAAUAUUUAAAAAUGCGUUUGAUAAGUGUCUGUUAAUCUCUUUGCUAAAAGUUCAAAUUGUUAGCAUACGUGAUUUUAUUAUAUAGAACUCAGAAUAAACAAUAAAGUUGACAUCUUGGAAAAUAUGCAUUUAUUCGUCCUUGACCUUGAUUUGACGGAAAUUACACAGUACGAAUAUUUAACGGCC